AUGUUGUUGCACCUGAACUUUUUAGAAGCAGUAAAGCAGCACCAUCAGCUCCUGGGUGCCACCACACAUACCGGACGGAGCCUGCUUCUGACGGAGCUGACGUCCAUACAUACAGCUUCAAUUUGUGUAAAAAAGCACACUGCCCUGAUCAAUAAUUGCAGUUCGUCACAGUUAAGCCCAUCCUCGUGGUUCCAGUUCACAGUUAACCUUGCAUCAUCACCCGAUGGCGUCCAUUCAUUGCACAUGGAGGUAGUAGCUCUCUCAAGUCCCCCGGUUUUCUUCUCAUUGAUGGCAAGUACAUGCCCUACUACUGCAAGCUAG
rnacentral:rRNA from 1 species